CUGCAUCUACAUGAAACAAUCCUAACUACAUUGUAAGUACGGUGUCCAGUAGAGGCUGGUGUUUCAAGGAAGCUUGGUAUCAAAGAAUGCACCGGAACUACAGCGAAAUCAGUAGGAUCUCGCAUUUUGCAACACAUGGUUUGAAAAUGCAAAGUUUGUUUGCUCAAAGCCAGGAGUGAGACAUUACAACGGGCCGAGGAUGGCAAGUUUUGGCUGUAGACAUGAAGCUUAAGUUUUUGGCUGUAAUGCCAAGGACCUGAAGUCGACAACUGUCUUGCCAUCGCCACAACCUGGACUGGGGCAGGUUAUAAGGCCUGUUUCAGGGACUUGUUUCUGAAGACCAUUCUUCACAGAGCCAUUCGGAAGAACCCUGCAACCCGGGAUGCCAAAGAUGAGGGGAUCCAGAUUCAGGUCACCUAUUACCUGAAAGGGGCCUCCGAUUUUGAAGGCGGGAGGUGGCAGUGCACAGGGUAGAUAGAUCCUAAUAAUCUCCUUAGCCACGCCCCUCGUUUUCGAGUGUCCCUCUGUGGGGGAGUGGCACUCAAACUAGUGCUAAGGUGAGCUCAAUUAGGCCUAGGGAAUGCGACAUCACCACAUCACUCGCGCACAUCAGAAAUUACCAAUGGAUACAAUACAAUUCAUUAACGACGAGCCUUGUGUUUUUCACAAUGCCUGUACUGGCAGCAGUAAUAGCUUUCCAUAUAUUUGUCAUGCAACAAAUACGUUGUUGUGGAAAUUCUUACACAGGGAAACUCGGCAUCAAUCAUAAAUGAAUCAUUGUUUAUUGCUAGCGUGCUGAAGAGGAUCCAACAAACUUGCUGCACCAUAGUCAAUGUCUGUCAGGAGCUCUAACGGGGCAGUCCCGUUUUUUUCCCUUGAUAUACUGCAGACAAGUCAUAUUUGCAUGAUUUAGCUUAUUCAGAAUUAAUUCAUCAUUAACGUUUGCUUCAUUCAUGUAACCGACCAAUACUUGGUCAUGGAUUGACCUCACAAGGCUUGUUCUCUCUAAGCUGAGAUCUUGAAAUUGAAUGGUUCUGGGCGUACUGCCAAAUUGCAGACACUGAUAGUGAGGACUCGUUCAAUCAGUCACUUGCAUGAACACAGAAAUUGGUUUAUAGAAAAGCACAGAGAACAAAGAAAUUUAUAAAUAGAAAAUCACCAACAGAAAAUUUUCCGUCACAACAUAAUUACCAUAUGAGGAGGACUAGCUCGCUAAGCUAGCACACAGUGCCUCCUGAACAUCUCCCCUUGCCGUUGUUAACAGAACUGUGGGAAAACAGUGGUUGACAGGCAGGGGCGAAGGAUACUCUACCGGUUUGUACUAGCAACCAUUGUCGCUCCAACCUCUUCUUCUGUGGAGUUUUAUCAACGGUUGGCAUCCAACGUUAUGGUGCAUUUCCUCCAUCUACUGUCACGUUUGUCGUAUUGAUUGGACCAAGGCGCAGCGUGGUAUGCGUACAUUCUUUAAUGUAUUAAGAAUGAACACUGAACAAACUAAACAAAAUAACAACACGACACGUGAAGCUAUACAAAUUGAGUGCUGACAGGCAACCCACGAACACAAAAGGGAAAAUGGCUACCUAAAUUUGAUCCCCAAUCAGAGACAACGAUAAACAGCUGCCUCUGAUUGGGAACCAUAUCAGGCCACCAUAAACAUACACAUCACCUAGACCUACAAAAACCUUAGACAAUACAAAACCCCUAGACAAUACAAAAACUAGCGUACCCACCCUUGUCACACCCUGACCUAACCAAAAUAUAAAGAAAACAUAGAUAUCUAAGGUCAGAGCGGGACAUCUACUGUAUCAUCUAACCCUGCCUCUUGCCCAUAUACUGGAGUUAUAGCUUAAAAAGUAUAUCAAAGUAUGCAUGGUUGCCCACAUCUAGGAACGCCUCUAAUUUGGUGCUGCAGUUGCACCCUUCUCUGUCGAUUUGCUUAGUUUGGCGGCCCAACUAGAAAAGGCACUACCCUGCACUCAAAGUUGAAUUGGAACACCACUCCAACUCGAUGCGGCUCGCGCAAAAAAAGGGAGAGGGCUAAAGGUGUCCGUAUACAUAGGUUUGGUUUCCUCCCAGCAGAACUCGGCUAGGCGACGUGAACGUCUAUGCCCACAUACUCCAUUAAAAUAGCUAUUGGUCCUUCUUGAGAUGCCGUACGCAACAACAUACAGUAACACUUCCUCAAAAUAGUCAGAAUCAAUCUAAGAUAAUUCAAGAAAUCUGUCAUUCACUUUUACGUUUUUGCCAAGGAGGUCUUAGUCACUCAAUUUUACAUCUAACUAAGAUGUUUGGUACAGUAUUUCUCAAGUGAAAAUAAUUUGCAUGAAAACUAGUUGUCUGUCUUUGAAUGACAACACAUCCUUCAUUGAAAAAUCCCUACUGUUGACCAAUCACAGACAAAGGGGCUUAGACUUCGGCUACCAAACUUCGACUUGCCUCAAGAAAAUGUUUUGUGUACUCAAACACCUGGAAAAAUACCUGCAAAGAAAAAAAACAUCACAAAAGUUUGGUAAACUUUAGGGGGAGGGCUAAGGGGGUAUUGGAAUUUAAGUCUCGGACCACCUGUCUCAAAGCCAGCCUUUACCGCCAAGCCACAAGACGGUUUCAACAGCUGAACCAUGGGCUGACUACUGCACCCUAAUACACGUAACUUUUAUUUAUAUUCUGUACACACUGAACUUACUUUUGUUUACCAGAACAAUGUGUCACGACUUCCGCCGAAGUCGGCUCCUCUCCUUGUUCGGGCGGCGUUCAGCAAUCGACGUCACUGGCUUUCUAGCCAUCGCCGCUCCAUUUCUCAUAUGUCCAUUUGUUUUGUCUUGUUUCACACACACCUGGUUUUCAUUCCCCAAUCAAUCUACAUGUAUUUAGUCCUCUGUUUCCCCAUCAUGUCUUUGUGUGUAAUUGUUUAUUUUUAUGUGGAUUUGUGCAGGCGCUAUACUAUUAUUAUGUUCCGUGUUUUUUGCACGUUUGUGUUUUAUGUGCUGUCGUUUUGGACCGGAAUUAAAGUGCGCCUGUUCACUACACUCUGCUCUCCUGCACCUGACUUCGCCUCCCGUACACACACCUAACACAAUGCAAUAGUUAUGUCACCUCACUGCACUACUAAUGCAUAUACUUUCAUAUAAUUCAAUGCUGCUACUGUACUGUACCUUAUUCCAGUCACUAUGCACAUGGGCAAACACAGUCCAUACUUUAUCCCUAUAAGCAAUUUUUUUUCUAUCUUAUUUUCUUUUAUCUGCAUGCCUCUUGUACUUGAUUUAGUUUAUUUAGAAUUUUUAUUAGUAUGUUAUAUUUACAAUGUUUUUAUUCACUUUUAUUUAUUCGCCCAAUUGAGACUAGUGUCUAAUUUUCAAUGGUGCCCUGAGGAAUUUUUUUUUGUUCCCCUUACUAGCUCUGACUGUUGACUGCUCUGAUCUACUAUAUUGAGGAAAUUGUUUAUAUGACUGUGAAAUGUGAUUGUCCCACCUAGUUAUCUUAGGUUGAAUGCACUAACUGGAAUAAGAGCAUCUGCUAAAUGACAAAAUCUUUAAUUAAAGUCAAUCAAAACAA